CCUACGGGUGGCAGCAGUGAGGAAUAUUGGUCAAUGGCCGGAAGGCUGAACCAGCCAAGUCGCGUGAGGGAAUAAGGCCCUAUGGGUUGUAAACCUCUUUUGUCAGGGAGCAAAGGCGUCCACGUGUGGCCGAGAGGAGAGUACCUGAAGAAAAAGCAUCGGCUAACUCCGUGCCAGCAGCCGCGGUAAUACGGAGGAUGUGAGCGUUAUCCGGAUUUAUUGGGUUUAAAGGGUGCGCAGGCGGAGGUGCAAGUCAGCGGUAAAAUCGCGGGGCUCAACCACGUACUGCCGUUGAAACUGCAGCCCUUGAGUGCGCGAGAAGUAUGCGGAAUGCGUGGUGUAGCGGUGAAAUGCAUAGAUAUCACGCAGAACUCCGAUUGCGAAGGCAGCAUACCGGCGCGCAACUGACGCUGAUGCACGAAAGCGUGGGUAUCGAACAGGAUUAGAUACCCGUGUAGUC
rnacentral:rRNA from 1 species